rnacentral:rRNA from 1 species
GACGAACGCUGGCGGCGUGCUUAACACAUGCAAGUCGAACGGUGAAAGCGGAGCUUGCACCGCUGGAUCAGUGGCGAACGGGUGAGUAACACGUGGGCAACCUGCCCCUCACUUCGGGAUAACUCCGGGAAACCGGGGCUAAUACCGGAUAUGACCUCCUUGGGCAUCCUUGGAGGUGGAAAGCUUUUCGGUGAGGGAUGGGCCCGCGGCCUAUCAGCUUGUUGGUGAGGUAGUGGCUCACCAAGGCGACGACGGGUAGCCGGCCUGAGAGGGCGACCGGCCACACUGGGACUGAGACACGGCCCAGACUCCUACGGGAGGCAGCAGUGGGGAAUAUUGCGCAAUGGGCGAAAGCCUGACGCAGCAACGCCGCGUGCGGGAUGACGGCCUUCGGGUUGUAAACCGCUUUCAGCAGGGAAGAAGCCGCAAGGUGACGGUACCUGCAGAAGAAGCACCGGCUAACUACGUGCCAGCAGCCGCCGUAA